AACGAACGCUGGCGGCAUGCCUAACACAUGCAAGUCGAACGAGACCUUCGGGUCUAGUGGCGCACGGGUGCGUAACGCGUGGGAAUCUGCCCUUGGUUCGGAAUAACAGUCAGAAAUGACUGCUAAUACCGGAUAAUGUCUUCGGACCAAAGAUUUAUCGCCCAGGGAUGAGCCCGCGUAGGAUUAGCUAGUUGGUGAGGUAAAGGCUCACCAAGGCGACGAUCCUUAGCUGGUCUGAGAGGAUGAUCAGCCACACUGGGACUGAGACACGGCCCAGACUCCUACGGGAGGCAGCAGUGGGGAAUAUUGGACAAUGGGCGAAAGCCUGAUCCAGCAAUGCCGCGUGAGUGAUGAAGGCCUUAGGGUUGUAAAGCUCUUUUACCCGGGAUGAUAAUGACAGUACCGGGAGAAUAAGCCCCGGCUAACUCCGUGCCAGCAGCCGCGGUAA
rnacentral:rRNA from 1 species